CCUACGGGUGUCAGCAGUAGGGGAUAUUGCACAAUGGGGGGAACCCUGAUGCAGCGACGCCGCGUGAGUGAAGGAGCGUUUCGGCUCGUAAAGCCCUAUCGGCAGUGAAGAAAGUGACGGUACCUGACCAAGAAGCCCCGGCUAACUACGUGCUAGCAACCGCGGUAAAACGUAGGGGGCAAGCCGUAUCCGGAUUUACUGGGUGUAACGGGGGCGCAGACGGCAAUGCAAGCAUGGAGUGAAAGCCCGGGGCUCAACCCGUGGAUAGCUCGUGUAACUGUAUGGCUGGAGUACAGGAGGGGAAGGUGGAAUUCCAAGUGUAGCGGUGGAAGGCGUAGAUAUUAGGAGGAACACCAGUGGCGAAGGCGGCCUGCUGGUCUGUGACUGACGUUGAGGCUAGAAGGCGUGGGGAGCAAACAGGAUUAGAUACCCUUGUAGUC
rnacentral:rRNA from 1 species